GCUGUCUCUCCCUGGUGGUCUAGUGGCUAGGAUUCUAGUGCUUUAACUGCCAGCGCCCAGGUUCAAUUCCCGGUUAGGAAAGUUUGCUUCUUUGCUUUCUUGAUCACACGCAUUCUAUUAUCGCCGUGGCUGCGGCUGUCACUGCCCUCCGGAGCAGUUAAGGUUUGCUUGCAGGCACGCCUCUCUGCAAGGCACUACUGACAUCCUGUACAUCAGUAUCCAGGGAAUGGGGACUGCCUGUAUGGAGUAAAAAGGGCUCCCUAAUGACAUUGCCCCGCGGUUUUCAAGACUGACUUCAGGAUCAUCUGGGAGAGGUUGAAAGGCACAUGCAGUGUUCACCGCCUUGAACUGAAGAUCACUGAACAUGGCUUUGGUGGAAACCACUGCAGUGAUAUCAGAAAGGAAAAAAGCAAACUUCCCUGACCGGGAAUCGAACCCGGGCCGCGGCGGUGAAAGCGCCGAAUCCUAGCCACUAGACCACCAGGGAGGGCUGGUGACACUGUGGGCAGCACCUUCUGAGAAAAGAUCUUAGGACAGACGCCUCAACCACCUCAGGCACAUGUUAGAAACCUAUAGGAAUGUCUUUUUCUCCCUCUCCCUCUCCCCACGGUCUCCCUCUCCCUCUCUCCACGGUCUCCCUCUGAUGCGGAGCUGAAGCUGGACGGUACUGCUGCCUGAUUCUCCUGCCUCAGCCUGCCGACUGCCUGCGAUUGCAGGCGCGCGCCGCCACGCCUGACUGGUUUUCGUAUUUUUUUGGUGGAGACGGGGUUUCGCUGUGUUGGCCGGGCUGGUCUCCAGCUCCUAACCGCGAGUGAUCCACCAGCCUCGGCAUCCUGAGGUGCCGGGAUUGCAGACGGAGUCUCGUUCACUCCGUGCUCAAUGGUGCCCAGGCUGGAGUGCAGUGGCGUGAUCUCGGCUCGCUACAACCUUCACCUCCCAGCAGCCUGCCUUGGCCUCCCAAAGUGCCGAGAUUGCAGCCUCUGCCCGGCCGCCACCCCGUCUGGGAAGUGAGGAGCGUCUCUGCCCGGCCGCCCAUCGUCUGGGAUGUGAGGAGCCCCUCUGCCUGGCUGCCCAGUCUGGAAAGUGAGGAGCGUCUCUGCCCGGCCGCCCGUCGUCUGGGAUGUGAGGAGCCCCUCUGCCUGGCUGCCCAGUCUGGAAAGUGAGGAGCGUCUCUGCCCGGCCGCCAUCCCAUCUAGGAAGUGAGGAGCGCCUCUUCCCGGCCGCCAUCCCAUCUGGGAAGUGAGGAGAGUCUCUGCCCGGCCGCCCAUCGUCUGAGAUGUGGGGAGCACCUCUGCCCUGCCGCCCCGUCCGGGAUGUGAGGAGCGUCUCUGCCCGGCCGCCCCGUCUGAGAAGUGAGGAGACCCUCUGCCUGGCAACCGCCCCGUCUGAGAAGUGAGGAGCCCCUCCGCCCGGCAACCACCCCGUCUGAGAAGUGAGGAGCCCCUCCGCCCGGCAGCCGCGCCGUCUGAGAAGUGAGAAGCCCCUCCGCCCAGCAGCCACCCCGUCUGGGAAGUGAGGAGCGUCUCUGCCCGGCCGCCCCUACUGGGAAGUGAGGAGCCCCUCUGCCCGGCCAGCCGCUCCGUCCAGGAGGGAGGUGGGGGGGUCAGCCCCCCGCCCGGCCAGCCGCCCCGUCCGGGAGGGAGGUGGGGGGGGUCAGCCCCCCGCCCAGCCAGCCGCCCCGUCCGGGAGGGAGGUGGGGGGGGUCAGCCCCCCACCUGGCCAGCCGCCCCGUCCGGGAGGUGAGGGGCGCCUCUGCCCGGCCGCCCCUACUGGGAAGUGAGGAGCCCCUCUGCCUGGCCGGCCGCCCCGUCCGGGAGGGAGGUGGGGGGGUCAGCCCCCCACCCGGCCAGCCGCCCCGUCCGGGAGGUGAGGGGCGCCUCUGCCCGGCCGCCCCUACUGGGAAGUGAGGAGCCCCUCUGCCCGGCCAGCCGCUCCGUCCAGGAGGGAGGUGGGGGGGUCAGCCCCCGCCCGGCCAGCCGCCCCGUCCGGGAGGGAGGUGGGGGGGUCAGCCCCCCACCCGGCCAGCCGCCCCGUCCGGGAGGUGAGGGGCGCCUCUGCCCGGCCGCCCCUACUGGGAAGUGAGGAGCCCCUCUGCCCGGCCACCACCCCGUCUGGGAGGUGUACCCAACAGCUCAUUGAGAACGGGCCAUGAUGACAAUGGCGGUUUUGUGGAAUAGAAAGGGGGGAAAGGUGGGGAAAAGAUUGAGAAAUCGGAUGGUUGCCGUGUCUGUGUAGAAAGAGGUAGACGUGGGAGACUUUUCAUUUUGUUCUGUACUAAGAAAAAUUCUUCUGCCUUGGGAUGCUGUUGAUCUGUGACCUUACCCCCAACCCUGUGCUAUCUGAAACAUGUGCUGUAUCCACUCAGGGUUGAAUGGAUUAAGGGCGGUGCAAGAUGUGCUUUGUUAAACAGAUGCUUGAAGGCAGCAUGCUCCUUAAGAGUCAUCACCACUCCCUAAUCUCAAGUACCCAGGGACACAAACACUGCGGAAGGCCGCAGGGUCCUCUGCCUAGGAAAACCAGAGACCUUUGUUCACUUGUUUAUCUGCUGACCUUCCCUCCACUAUUGUCCUGUGACCUUGCCAAAUCCCCCUCUGCGAGAAACACCCAAGAAUGAUCAAUUAAAAAAAAAAAAAAAAGAAACCUAUAGGAAUGUCUUUAAGAAUAUUUUGCAAUGAUGUGUAUAGUACUGGAUGCAGUGACUGCUGCCUGGGCCAGAGGGUGGCAGAAGGCUUUAGGGGCAGAAACGUUGGAAGAAAGAUUGUCAUAAGUCAAGCUGGGGAAGAGAAAAAUAUUUCCCAAAUCAUUUUUGUCACGGACUCCCUCUGACAUGGGAGUUUCUCAUCUCCCUUCCUGCCUCCCUCCCUUUUUCUUUCUUCCUCCUAAAAUCUGCAUCUCCUUCACUUAUAUAGUUUCCCCACGGUUGAUUGAGAAAAAAUGUGUCUUUUUGCCCCCCUCCCCAAAGGAUCCUAUUCCUGAUCUCUAAAUAUGCCCCUCACCAGUGCAGAGGGAGGAGCAGUCAGAGCCUGGGAGACUUGCCUACCUGGAGCUGCACCCAUCUUUGAGGCCUUGCUCUGUUUCCUGGAACCUGAAAUGGAUUUACCUAUUCUACACAUUUCAUAGAAAUGAAAUCACAUAAUGUGUCACAUUUUGUCUGGCUUCUCUCACUUGGCAUAAUAUUUUUGGGUUCAUUCAUGUCAUAGUAUGUACUUCAUUUCUUCUUAUGGCUAAAUAACAUUUUAUGUAUAUACCACAUUUCCUUUAUCCAUUCAUCUGUUGAUGGGCAUUUUGGUUGUUUCCACCUUUUGGCUGUUGUGAAUAAUGCUGCUAUGAACAUUUAUGUACAAGCAUUUGUUUGAGCAUCUGUUUUUUAUUUUUUGGGGUUAUCUAUUUAGUAGUGGAAUUACUAAGUCACUUAUAUUCCCACCAGCAUAGGUAAAUCUAUAGGAACAGAAAGCAGAGUAAUGGCUGCCAGGGGCUGGGGAAUGUGGAGUAAUCACAUAAUGAUAUGGGGUUUUACUUUCUUUUGAUGAAAAUGUUUUGGAACUAGAUUGAGAUGGUGGUUGCAUAACCGUGUGAACAUACUUAAUGCCACUGAAUUUGUUUAAGAUGGCUUCAUUUUUCUUCACAUUUCUGCCUAUGCUUUAUAUUUUCUGUUGUUUUAAAAAUUAUAGCCAUCCUAGUGGGUGUGAAGAUACCACUACACAUAAAUUAGAAUGUCUAAAAUUAAAGAGACAGACUAUAUGCAGUGGACUGAAUGUUUGCACACACACCCCAAGUUCAUAUGUUAAAAUUCUAACUCCCAAGGUUAUGAUAUUAUGAGGUGGGGCUUUGGGGAGAUAAUUAGGUCAUGAAGGUGGAGCCUUCAUUAAUAGGAUUAGUGUCCUUAUAAAAGAGACCCUCACCAUGUGAGGCUUCUUAAAAGACUGCUUUCUGUGAGAAAACAGGCCCUCACCAGAAACCACAUGUGCAAGCACCUUGAUCUUGGACCUCCCAACUUCCAGAACCAUGAGAAAUAAUUUUUGUUGCUUAUAAGCCACCCAGUCUAUGGCAUUUUGUUAUAGCACCUGAAUGGACUGAGAGAUCAUACGAAACAAAAAAGAGGACAUGCUGUAUGAUUUCAUUUACAUAAAACUCUAGGCAAUGCCAACUUAUCUAUAUUGACAAA
rnacentral:tRNA from 10 species